CGCCUCUUGAAAAAAUAUAAGAGGUCCCGCCUGCCCACUGACCAAGUUCAACGGCCGCGGUAUCCUGACCGUGCGAAGGUAGCGUAAUCACUUGUUUUUUAAAUAAAGACUAGUAUGAAAGGCCCCACGAGAGUUAAACUGUCUCCUCUUUCUAAUCAGUGAAACUAAUCUUCCCGUGAAGAAGCGGGAAUUUUUUUAUAAGACGAGAAGACCCUAUGGAGCUCCAGACAAAAUAAUACUGCUUCCUCCUGUUCCCUUUUGAGAAACAUACCCCCUGCAGCACCCUAAUUAUAAGUCUUGGGUUGGGGCGACCGCGGAGUAAAAAUUACCCUCCACGUUGAACAGAACUCUUCUUAAAUAAAGAACCACAACUCUAUGCAUCAAUAAAUUGACACAUUUGACCCAAUUACUUGAUCAACGAAACAAGUUACCCUAGGGAUAACAGCGCAAUCCACUUCAAGAGCCCUUAUCAACAAGUGGGUUUACGACCUCGAUGUUGGAUCAGGGUACCCCAGUGGCGCAGCCGCUACUAAAGGUUUGUUUGUUCAACAAUUAAAACCCUACGUGAUCUGAGU
rnacentral:rRNA from 1 species